AAACGAGUGAUGAAAAAGAGACCAAAAAAAGAAUGAAACGAAUAAAGCGUGCGGUCUUUCAUCACUUACCUUUAUUCGGUUCAUGCUUCUUUUGGGUGUUUCUCGUGUGUUCUUUUCUCUUCUUUCUUCGGUCAAAAUAUAAUGUAAUGGAAUGAAAG
rnacentral:ribozyme from 1 species